rnacentral:rRNA from 1 species
UACGUAGGGUGCAAGCGUUAAUCGGAAUUACUGGGCGUAAAGCGUGCGCAGGCGGUUUUGUAAGUCUGUCGUGAAAUCCCCGGGCUUAACCUGGGAAUGGCGAUGGUGACUGCAAGGCUAGAGUUUGGCAGAGGGGGGUAGAAUUCCACGUGUAGCAGUGAAAUGCGUAGAGAUGUGGAGGAACACCGAUGGCGAAGGCAGCCCCCUGGGUCAAAACUGACGCUCAUGCACGAAAGCGUGGGGAGCAAACAGG